rnacentral:misc_RNA from 1 species
AGAGAGAGAAACCUGAGCAUCAAGAGAGUUGUUAUACAUUAUCUCAUUGUUAAGCCCCUUUCUGAUCUCAUUCAUAUCCCACAGGAAGAUGGCAUCUGUGUUAGGAUUGUGACCUGGCUGAUGAUGAUGAUUUACCCAAUGAAACAGAAGCAAGGGAAGAAGCCCAAACCCGGAAAUUUUUGGUGCCUUCAUGGAGAUUCCUCAUCUUGCGUAAUCUUAGCCUGGUCCAAAUCCUCCUCACAUCAAUCAUAUGCAGGAUACGGCCAAAUAAUUGACUUGUCUCACCAAAUAU